ACUAAAAAUACAAAAAAUUAGCCGGGCAUGGUGGCGGGCAUCUGUAGUCCCAG
rnacentral:antisense_RNA from 1 species